CGUUGUCUGAUUUGGAGAGUCAUCAUUCUUGGUCUUCACUCUUAAAGGCCACUGAUGAAGAACAGGCGGUGGCUGGGAUGAAUGCUGGUCAAAGAAGAGAACGUCCUUUCCCCUAAACUGAUGCAGCAGUGGUUUUAAAGGAGGACGCUGCCCUGGAUGAUGUCACGUGCUGAUGGGGCUUCUUCAUGACUACAUCAAUUAUGCUAAAGAGAUCAUGAAAAUUGACCAUGAUGCAUGAUCUGUUUUCAUGGACUAUGAAACAAACUGUAAGUGUAUAAUUUGUAAAAAACAA